AUGAUAUCUCUGACCACUUUUUGAUAUUUUUUCUGGUUCAGGUGAGUGGUGUCAUUGAGCAAACACAAAGUCGGGCUCAUCCAAGGAUGAGAUUUUGCCAGAGAAAGGACGAGCAGCAAGUCAGGGAGCUUAAGAGGGAGUCUCACUCUGUUGCCCAGGCUGGAGUGCUGUGGCACAGUCUUGGCUCACUGCAACCUCUGCCUCCCGGGUUCAAGGGAUUCUCCUGCCUCAGCCUCCCGAGUAGCUGGGAUUACAGGCGCCUGCCACCACGCCCGGCUAAUUUUUGUGAUUUUUUUUUUAGUGGAGACGAGGUUUCACUAUGUAGGCGAAGCUGGUGUCGAACUCCUGACCUCAGAUGAUCCACCCGCCUCAGCCUCCCAAAGUGCUAAGAUUACAGGCGUGAGCCACCGCGCCUGACCUGUUUAUUCUCUUAAGAGAGAAAAUGAGGGGAUUAGUGGACUGUAGUUCUGGACAAGGUGGAAAACUCUUAAAGUGGAAGUAUUGGGGUGAGUGCUCUGACAUGCUAGGAUGGUGCAGUCAGUCCCUUCACCCAGAAAUCAGUAGAAUGUUAGCAGUUCUGACUCAAACCUUGUGAAAAACAGGUGGUGGAAAGGAAAUCCCUCACAGCAACUGGCACCAUAAUCAAGACAAUGUUUGCAGAAUAAAUGGAGUUACCUGCUUUCAGCCCCGGGUCGUAGCUAUUGUCUGCCCUGCUGAUAUGUGAUAAUAAUUUGUGAUCCUGUUGUCUUAAAAUGGGGUCACUCAUCUCCAGUAGAAUUAAGUCCACAGUGAAGUUGUCCCCCCAUCCCCAAAGAGAUAAACAUAUAUGAAUGAACUCACGUGAUAACAACUACUGCUGCCUGGGAUCGUGAGAGACCUGAACUGAACUGAUAGGAAGUGAAAGGUGGCUGAGAUAAUGAGAAUAGACCCAUCUGCAGAGGAUCAUAAAACCAGCAAAGACAAGAUCUUGUCUAAGAUGCCUUCACAAACUUUGUCUGUGAGAACUCUUAAGGAUUUCACCAGACCUGUUGGCUGCUGCUGUGAUCUCUGCCCAAGAGGAGCCUCUGACCAACAUCCAAAGGGCUUCU
rnacentral:lncRNA from 1 species